rnacentral:rRNA from 2 species
GAUUUCUGGCUUGACGUGCCUGGCCCGCCUCGGUUACGAGUGUGAGUGCCGGUGCGCGUCUGCCAUCCUUCUAGAGAACGGCUUCACCCUUCACUGGGCUGGAGACGCGAUCUAGAUCUAUUACUUUGAAAAAAUUAGAGUGUUUAAAGCAGGCGUUUGCUCUGAAUACAUUAGCAUGGAAUAAUAAUUUAGGACUUUGGUUCUAUUUUGUUGGUUUCUAGGACUGAAGUAAUGAUUGAUAGGGAUAGUUGGGGGUGCUAGUAUUCAGUGGCCAGAGGUGAAAUUCUUGGAUUCACUGAAGACUAACUUAUGCGAAAGCAUU